rnacentral:rRNA from 1 species
UACGGAGGGUGCAAGCGUUAUCCGGAUUCACUGGGUUUAAAGGGUGCGUAGGUGGGUCUGUAAGUCAGUGGUGAAAUCUCCGAGCUUAACUCGGAAACUGCCAUUGAUACUAUAGGUCUUGAAUCAUCUGGAGGUAAGCGGAAUAUGUCAUGUAGCGGUGAAAUGCUUAGAUAUGACAUAGAACACCAAUUGCGAAGGCAGCUCGUUACACGAAGAUUGACUCUGAGGCACGAAAGCGUGGGGAUCAAACAGG